rnacentral:rRNA from 1 species
CCUACGGGAGGCAGCAGUGGGGAAUAUUGGGCAAUGGACGCAAGCCUGAACCAGCAACGCCGCGUGAAGGAAGACGGCUUUCGGGUUGUAAACUUCUUUUAUCAGGGACGAAGCAAGUGACGGUACCUGCUGAAUAAGCCACUGCUAACUACGUGCCAGCAGCCGCGGUAAUACGGAGGCCGCAAGAGUUAUCGGGAUUUACUGGGUGUAAAGGGAGGGUAGGCGGGAGGGUAAGUCAGAUGUGAAAACUAUGGGCUCAACCCAGACACUGCAUGUGAAACUGUUCUUCUUGAGUGCAGGAGAGGCAAGCGGAAUUUCGUGUGUAGCGGUGAAAUGCGUAGAGAUACGGAGGAACACCAGUGGCGAAGGCAGAUUGCUGGACAGUAACUGACGCUGAGGCGCGAAAGCGUGGGGAGCAAACAGGAUUAGAUACCCGGGUAGUC